GUGGAAGAGGCAAAGCGGACUAUUUUUGAAUCCGCGAGUUUUCUAUCGAAAGUGUUAUAAUUUAGAUAGAUAAGUUAGUUAAUGUGUAGAUACCCUGCUGUGCAUCCGUCAGAUUUAAAUAAGGAAGAGCCGCUCUUGACCCCACGACCAUCGCUGGAAACGAGCCGCACGUUGGAAAGGUGACCGCGCAAUACUUCAUCAAGCGCAGACAUCACGCGUAGAUUGAUGGAGAUUGAGCAUUCAUCGGUAUUCAUCAUCCACUUCCCCACGCACCAAGAAGCCGCCGGCUAUUCUCCUGAAAAAAGGUUGUGAGUACUCACUUGUUAUCGACUAACACAUGCGCAUGUAGAGUUGAAGAUAGAAUGAACGCCACACAAAUAACAAUGCCCUAGAACAAGACCACACAAGAUAAGCAUGCUUAAAAUAGAGCAAUAGCCGACGACGAGCAGAUACCGUCGGUAUUGCAGAAAAUGCACAGAAGAUGAAGAGAUAGGCUAGAUAGUAAAGCAGAGAAUUGCUAAUCCCAUGGGUAGAGGUUCGAAACCAAAUCUAUUAA